AUAUUACGGUUGAUGAUGUUAUAAUAAAUAAAUAUCACGAGUGGGCUGGUAUGCUUCUGGAAGCACGGAGGGCUCCGUGCUUCCAAAUUGUUUUCGAUGUUCGGACUUUCGAAUCAACGAUCGGCUCCGUUAGAGUUGAUCUAGAGUAUUUGAAGUACCUAAAAAAUAAAUUUCGCGAUUUUUCGAUAUGAUUUGCCUAGUGAUCGAAGGGGCUCAAAAUCAAUAAUUUUAACGGCCGUGGUGAGCCGUUUGCAAGUUUAACGGUGUAGAAAUAUCCAAAUCACAUGAAAUUUUGAUAGAAAAUUCUUUAUACCAUAUAAAACAAGAUCAAUAACUUUGAUCUAAAAUUUUAAUAUCAUAUCAUCAUAUUUUGUAAGAUUUUUAUUUUCAGCCGUUGAUUUUGAGCCCCUUCGAUCACUAGGCAAAUGAUAUCGAAAAAUCGCGAAAUUUAUUUUCUAGAUACUUCAAAUACUCUAGAUCAAGUCUAACGGAGCCGAUCGUCGAUUCGAAAGUCCCAACAUCGAAAACAACUUGGAAGCACGGAGUGUUCCGUGCUUCCAAAAGCACCCCAGACGCACUCUAAAUAUCACAUCAGUAUCGUCUUAACGGUAUUUUAGUAUUUAGUCAACUAAAUUGUACGGAAAAGUUUAAUUAAAGUAUAAAAUUAGAGACUUUAAAAGAAAGAUUUUAUGGAGCUAUCUGAAACUAAUUUUUUUUUUUUUUAUUUU
rnacentral:lncRNA from 1 species